GAAGAGUUUGAUCAUGGCUCAGAUUGAACGCUGGCGGCAGGCCUAACACAUGCAAGUCGAGCGGUAACGCGGGGGUAACCCUGGCGACGAGCGGCGGACGGGUGAGUAACGCGUAGGAAUCUACCUGGUAGUGGGGGAUAGCCCGGGGAAACUCGGAUUAAUACCGCAUACGCCUUAAGGGGGAAAGCAGGGGAUCGAAAGACCUUGUGCUAUCAGAGGAGCCUGCGUUGGAUUAGCUAGUUGGUAGGGUAAAGGCCUACCAAGGCGACGAUCCAUAGCUGGUCAGAGAGGAUGAUCAGCCACACUGGGACUGAGACACGGCCCAGACUCCUACGGGAGGCAGCAGUGGGGAAUAUUGGACAAUGGGGGCAACCCUGAUCCAGCCAUGCCGCGUGUGUGAAGAAGGCCUUCGGGUUGUAAAGCACUUUAAGUGGGGAGAAAGGCUCGGCAGCUAAUAAUUGUCGGGAUUGAUGCUACCCACAGAAUAAGCACCGGCUAACUCUGUGCCAGCAGCCGCGGUAAUUCCAGCUCCAAUAGCGUAUAUUAAAGUUGUUGCGGUUAAAAAGCUCGUAGUUGGAUCUCGGUUUCACUCAGGUGGUACACCUUGCGGUGUUCACUAUCUGGGUGGACGUUUCUGUUGGUUCGCUCUUGGUGCUCUUCAUCGGGUGCCAUUUGGUGGCCAGCACGUUUACUUUGAAAAAAUUGGAGUGCUCAAAGCAGGCGUUACAGCCUGAACAUUAGUGCAUGGAAUAAUGGAAUAGGAUCUCGAUUCUAUUUCGUUGGCUUUCGGAGUCGAGGUAAUGAUUAAUAGGGACAGACGGGGGCAUUCGUACUGCGACGUUAGAGGUGAAAUUCUUGGAUCGUCGCAAGACGAACUACUGCGAAAGCAUUUGCCAAGAAUGUCUUCAUUAAUCAAGAAUGAAAGUUAGAGGUUCGAAGGCGAUCAGAUACCGCCCUAGUUCUAACCAUAAACGAUGCCAACCGGCGAUCCGUCGUCGUUAAUUGAAUGACUCGACGGGCAGCCUCCGGGAAACCAGAGUGUUUGGGUUCCGGGGGAAGUAUGGUUGCAAAGCUGAAACUUAAAGGAAUUGACGGAAGGGCACCACCAGGAGUGGAGCCUGCGGCUUAAUUUGACUCAACACGGGAAAUCUCAUCAGGCCCGGACACCGGAAGGAUUGACAGAUUGAGAGCUCUUUCUUGAUUCGGUGGGUGGUGGUGCAUGGCCGUUCUUAGUUGGUGGAGCGAUUUGUCUGGUUAAUUCCGAUAACGAACGAGACUCUGGCCUACUAACUAGAAGGUCUAUCCUUUAUGGGUAGGCCUCUGCUUCUUAGAGGGACGGGCGGCGUUUAGCCGCACGAGAAUGAGCAAUAACAGGUCUGUGAUGCCCUUAGAUGUUCUGGGCUGCACGCGCGCUACACUGAAGGAAUCAGCAUGUUCUCCCCUCCCUGAAAAGGGCGGGUAACCCGUUGAAACUCCUUCGUGAUGGGGAUUGGAGAUUGUAAUUAUUCUCCAUGAACGAGGAAUUCCCAGUAGGCGCGAGUCAUCAGCUUGCGUCGAUUACGUCCCUGCCCUUUGUACACACCGCCCGUCGCUACUACCGAUCGAGUGAUUUAGUGAGGACUUCGGACUGGUCUUCAAGUUGGCUUCGGUCGGCUCGAAGUUCCGGAAAGAUGCCCAAACUUGAUCACUUAGAGGAAGUAAAAGUCGUAACAAGGUU
rnacentral:rRNA from 1 species